rnacentral:rRNA from 1 species
UGGCGAACGGGUAAGUAACGCGUGAGGAACCUGCCUCAAAGAGGGGGACAACAGUUGGAAACGACUGCUAAUACCGCAUAAGCCCACGGGUCGGCAUCGACCUGAGGGAAAAGGAGCAAUCCGCUUUGAGAUGGCCUCGCGUCCGAUUAGCUAGUUGGUGAGGUAACGGCCCACCAAGGCGACGAUCGGUAGCCGGACUGAGAGGUUGAACGGCCACAUUGGGACUGAGACACGGCCCAG